GAUGAACGCUGGCGGCGCGCCUAACACAUGCAAGUCGAACGGCACCUGCCUUCGGGCAGAAGCGAGUGGCGAACGGCUGAGUAACACGUGGAGAACCUGCCCCCUCCCCCGGGAUAGCCGCCCGAAAGGACGGGUAAUACCGGAUACCCCGGGGUGCCGCAUGGCACCCCGGCUAAAGCCCCGACGGGAGGGGAUGGCUCCGCGGCCCAUCAGGUAGACGGCGGGGUGACGGCCCACCGUGCCGACAACGGGUAGCCGGGUUGAGAGACCGACCGGCCAGAUUGGGACUGAGACACGGCCCAGACUCCUACGGGAGGCAGCAGUGGGGAAUCUUGCGCAAUGGGGGGAACCCUGACGCAGCGACGCCGCGUGCGGGACGGAGGCCUUCGGGUCGUAAACCGCUUUCAGCAGGGAAGAGUCAAGACUGUACCUGCAGA
rnacentral:rRNA from 1 species